rnacentral:rRNA from 1 species
CGAACCCUACGGGGCGCAGCGGUGAGGAAUAUUGGUCAAUGGUCGGGAGACUGAACCAGCCAAGCCGCGUGAGGGAGGAAGGUACAGAGUAUCGUAAACCUCUUUUGUCAGGGAACAAAGACUGGGACGCGUCCCCGGAUGAGUGUACCUGAAGAAAAAGCAUCGGCUAACUCCGUGCCAGCAGCCGCGGUAAUACGGAGGAUGCGAGCGUUAUCCGGAUUUAUUGGGUUUAAAGGGUGCGCAGGCGGUCUGUUAAGUCAGCGGUCAAAGCCCGGGGCUCAACCCCGGCCCGCCGUUGAAACUGG